rnacentral:rRNA from 1 species
AUGGAAGUUGGAUCCGGUCUCGGCCGCUGUGGCCUCAUUUUCGAGCCGCCCCCACGCAAAACUCGCAUCGAGCUGCCGGGCUUCGUCGGCACGCCUCCGCUGUGGCUCGCCAUGACCGGCGUGGCUCCGUUUGGCUGUCUCCAUCAAACCGCCAUUGCUUUGUUCAUCACCGAGCCGCCGUCACAUGACAUCUUGCUGCCGUGGCCGGACGUGGCCGUCCUCCAGCGCCCACCCAUCUUCUGCGGCUGCACCAUCACUGAGCCGCCAUGA